rnacentral:rRNA from 1 species
UACGUAGGGUGCAAGCGUUAAUCGGAAUUACUGGGCGUAAAGGGCUCGUAGGCGGCCAACUAAGUCAGACGUGAAAUCCCUAGGCUCAACCUAGGAACUGCGUCUGAUACUGGAUGGCUUGAAUCCGGGAGAGGGAUGCAGAAUUCCAGGUGUAGCGGUGAAAUGCGCAGAUAUCAGGAAGAACACCUAUGGCGAAGGCAGCUCUCUGGGACGGUACUGACGCUGAGACGCGAAAGCGUGGGGAGCGAACAGG